rnacentral:rRNA from 1 species
AUUGAACGCUGGCGGCAUGCCUUACACAUGCAAGUCGAACGGUAACAGGCCGCAAGGUGCUGACGAGUGGCGAACGGGUGAGUAAUGCAUCGGAACGUGCCCAGUCGUGGGGGAUAACGCAGCGAAAGCUGCGCUAAUACCGCAUACGAUCUCUGGAUGAAAGCGGGGGACCGAAAGGCCUCGCGCGAUUGGAGCGGCCGAUGUCGGAUGAGGUAGUUGGUGGGGUAAAGGCUCACCAAGCCAACGAUCUGUAGUUGGUCUGGGAGAACGACCAGCCCAACUGGGACGGGGACACGGCCCAGACUCCUACGGGAGGCAGCAGUGGGGAAUUUUGGACAAUGGGCGCAAGCCUGAUCCAGCAAUGCCGCGUGCAGGAAGAAGGCCUUCGGGUUGUAAACUGCUUUUGUACGGAACGAAACGGUCCUGGUUAAUACCUGGGGCUAAUGACGGUACCGUAAGAAUAAGCACCGGCUAACUACGUGCCAGCCGCCGCCGUAACAC